rnacentral:rRNA from 1 species
CAGUCGACGGUAGCACAGAGAGCUUGCUCUUCGGGUGACGAGUGGCGGACGGGUGAGUAAUGUCUGGGAAACUGCCUGAUGGAGGGGGAUAACUACUGGAAACGGUAGCUAAUACCGCAUAACGUCGCAAGACCAAAGAGGGGGACCUUCGGGCCUCUUGCCAUCAGAUGUGCCCAGAUGGGAUUAGCUAGUAGGUGGGGUAACGGCUCACCUAGGCGACGAUCCCUAGCUGGUCUGAGAGGAUGACCAGCCACACUGGAACUGAGACACGGUCCAGACUCCUACGGGAGGCAGCAGUGGGGAAUAUUGCACAAUGGGCGCAAGCCUGAUGCAGCCAUGCCGCGUGUAUGAAGAAGGCCUUCGGGUUGUAAAGUACUUUCAGCGGGGAGGAAGGCGCUGAGGUUAAUAACCUCAGCAAUUGACGUUACCCGCAGAAGAAGCACCGGCUAACUCCGUGCCAGCAGCCGCGGUAAUACGGAGGGUGCAAGCGUUAAUCGGAAUUACUGGGCGUAAAGCGCACGCAGGCGGUCUGUCAAGUCGGAUGUGAAAUCCCCGGGCUCAACCUGGGAACUGCAUUCGAAACUGGCAGGCUAGAGUCUUGUAGAGGGGGGUAGAAUUCCAGGUGUAGCGCUGAAAUGCGUAGAGAUCUGGAGGAAUACCGGUGCGAAGGCGGCCCCCUGCACAAAGACUGACGCUCAGGUGCGAAAGCGUG